UCUUGGGUUAUGAAGAAUCAUCGAGAUUUAGUAUCUUAUAAAAAGGUCUUUUAAAAAUAUAGUUUAUAGUAUUGUAAAAGAGGGGUUUGAAAGAGGGAAAAAGGAAGAGUAGACAUCUGUACCUUUUGUAUCAGGGUUUUUCAAGUUUAUUGGCAGUUAGUCAGAGUCUCGAAAUGUUAAGAUCUAGCUUGAUGAAUUAGGUGUAGGUGAUAAACUGCAGCGUGACUUUAAGUUAGAGGUGAAAUGUUAGUCGAUUGAUAUAUAUCUAGUUCUCUGAGAAAAAAGUUUAAUUUUUCCCUAGUCUAUAGUUUGGAUUAGGUGUUAGACCGCGGGGCAUGAGCUUUGCGGUUAGGUUUAAGAGGUUAAAUUAGUGAGGGAUUGCAAUUGGAGCUAGGCUUGAAAUCAGCCAUGUUUUAAGGGCGUUAUAGCUUAUUUUAGUCUAGUUAUGUUUUAGGUUAUUUGCUAGGGUUUAUCAGUGAGUACUUUUGAUCUUUUAAUUAGUAUUUAUAAUGAUAUAAUGAGUAGUUAUUGUUGUUUAGUAUUAUAUUGGUGGAUUAGGGAAUUAGAUGUAAGAUGGGUAGAGAUUAGUCAAGGAACUCGGCAAAUAUUUCCUUUGCCUGUUUAUCAAAAACAUGGCCUCAUGCCGGCUGUAUGAGGUUUGGCCUGCCCACUGAGAGUUGUUUGAAGGGCCGCGGUAUACUAACCGUGCGAAGGUAGCAUAGUCAAUAGUCUCUUAAUUGGGGGCUUGAAUGAACGGUCGGACAUAAGGAGGGCUGUCUGCGAUUAAUAAGAAUGAAUUUAACUUUUGUGUGAAAAGGCAUUAAUGAAUUAGGGGGACGAUAAGACCCUAUAAAACUUGAUAGUUGGUGCCAAAUUCUAUGAUUUGUGAGUAAGGGAGGGGUUGGAGAGGUUAUUGUGCUGGGGCGGCAGGAAUAUAAUUGUAACUGUUCUUAUAAUAAAAUAAUUAUAUUUAGAUAAUGACCCUGAAUUUUGGGUUGAAAAAUGAAGUUACUUUAGGGAUAACAGCGUUAUUUCCUUUGAGAGUUCAUAUCGACAGGGAUAUUUGCGACCUCGAUGUUGAAUUAAAAUUUUUUCCGGGAGCAGGAGUUCGGAUAAUAGGUCUGUUCGACCUUUAAAAUUUUACAUGAUUUGAGUUCAAACCGGUGUGAGCCAGGUUGGUUUCUAUCUUUUAGUUUUUAGUUGAGUUAUUUUAGUACGAAAGGAUUGAGUAGCUGCAAGAUUUGCUUGUCGUUUGAGCGAUAUUAAGUUAGU
rnacentral:rRNA from 1 species